rnacentral:lncRNA from 1 species
AAAUGAGACAUUAUAUGUUUUUAAGUGCAUGUAAAAAUUUUGGUUGCCUUUUGUUCAAUGAAACACUACACCAUCGCCUUGUUUGUGCUUGGUUCUUCUCUUUCUUUUUUUAUCUUUUUUAACCAUUUUCUAUCAAGGUUUUUGGAAUGUUAUGGAAAAGGCUUUUAAAAGAUCGGCCGAUUUUUAAAAAAUCGUCCGACUAACUUGGGAUUGGUCACUGGCCGAUCUCGAUCUGGCCCGAUUCCAGAGAAAGAGAAAGAGAGAGAGAGAGAGAGAGAGAGAG